rnacentral:rRNA from 1 species
GAAAAGAAACCAACAGGGAUUGCCUCAGUAACGGCGAGUGAAGCGGCAACAGCUCAAAUUUGAAAUCUGACCCCCCCCGUGGGGCCCGAGUUGUAAUUUGGAGAAGAUGCUUCGGGCGUGCCCCCCAUCUAAGUUCCCUGGAACGGGACGUCGGAGAGGGUGAGAAUCCCGUAUGUGACGGGGUGGCGCCGCCCGUGUGAAGCUCUUUCGACGAGUCGAGUUGUUUGGGAAUGCAGCUCAAAACGGGUGGUAAAUUUCAUCUAAAGCUAAAUACGGGCCAGAGACCGAUAGCGCACAAGUAGAGUGAUCGAAAGAUGAAAAGCACUUUGGAAAGAGAGUUAAACAGUACGUGAAAUUGUUGAAAGGGAAGCGCUGGCGACCAGACGUGCGCGCCGGUGAUCAUCUGGGGCUCGCCCCCGGUGCACUCGGCGGCGCGCAGGCCCGCAUCGGUUUGGGGGGCGGGACAAAGGCCCCUGGAAUGUGGCUCCCCCGGGAGUGUUAUAGCCAGGGGUAUCAUGCCGCCCCCCCGGACCGAGGACCGCGCUCCGGCUAGGAUGCGGGCGUAAUGGUCGUUAGCGACCCGUCUUGAAACACGGACCAAGGAGUCUAACAUCUAUGCGAGUGUUUGGGUGGCAAACCCACACGCGGAAUGAAAGUGAACGGAGGUGAGAGCCCGUACGGGCGCAUCAUCGACCGGUCCUGAUGUCUUCGGAUGGAUCUGAGUAAGAGCAUAGCUGUUGGGACCCGAAAGAUGGUGAACUAUGCCUGAAUAGGGUGAAGCCAGAGGAAACUCUGGUGGAGGCUCGCAGCGGUUCUGACGUGCAAAUCGAUCGUCAAAUUUGGGUAUAGGGGCGAAAGACUAAUCGAACCAUCUAGUAGCUGGUUCCUGCCGAAGUUUCC